GAGGACUGUGAAGCAAUCCGGGCGAGGCCGGGUGUCUGUUCAACUCUCCCGCGUAUCCUGUGUUUCGUCGGCGGCGGACAGUGUUCUGUAAUGUGUCUCCCUUUGCCCGAGCUAAAGGUUUUCCUCGACGGAGUCUUUAGAAUACCGUGGUAGAGGCAGUCUCCACACCACUGCUCGAACAGCUCUAUGAAGAGGCCUAUGUGGAGAGGAGAAAAAGCCUCCACCAACAGCCAGCACCAACUUGCCAGCCAUAUGGCGUCUUGCUCUGUCGCCCAGGCUGGAGUGCAGUGGUGUGAUCUCAGCUCACUGCAACCUCUGCCUCAUGGGUUCAAGCAAUUCUUCUGCCUCAGCCUCCCGUGUAGCUGUGAUUACAGACGUGUGCCACAAUACCCGGCUAAGUUUUGUAUUUUUAUUAUUAUUUUAUUUAUGUGUUUAUUUAUUUAUUUAUUUAUUUUGAGACGGAGUCUUGCUCUGUCGCCCAGGGUGGAGUGCAGUGGUACGAUCUCUGCUUGCUGCAGCCUCUGCCUCCCAGGCGAUUCUCCUGCCUCAGCCUCCCGAGUAGCUGGGAUUACAGGUGCCCGCCACCAUACCUGGCUAAUUUUUGUAUUUUUAGUAAAGACGGGGUUUUGCCAUGUUGGCCAGGCUGGUCUCGAACUCCUGACCUCAAGUGAUCUGCCUGCCUUGGCCUCCCAAGGCAGGGAGCCUGCUGGGAUUACAGGCAUGAGCCACCACGCCCAGUCAAAAUGUUUUAAAUGUUUCUAUACCAUCAUCUGUGUCAAAGAUCAAAUGGUCUCUCUGUAGCUGGAACAACAAAAACUCAAACGGUCCACACAGUGGUUCAUACCUAUAAGUCACCAAACCUAAACUAAGUUGUUAUCUGACCUUCUGGAAAUGAGAAGAGAUAGAUAACUGCCAGUUUCCCAAACAGGCCAGUUUAAAUCUUCCUGUAAGCAUGAUAAGGAAGUUCCCUCUGAUUUAAUCCUUACACACGAAAAAGUAGCCGUAAAUAACCUGAUGUUAACUCAUCAGUUAUUUAUUUUUAUUUUAUUUUAUUUUAUUUU
rnacentral:lncRNA from 1 species